rnacentral:tRNA from 1 species
GAGGGUAUAGCUCAGUGGUAGAGUGCCCACUUGGCGUGCACAAGGUCCUGGGUUCAAUCCCCAGCACCUCCA